AUUGAACGCUGGCGGCAGGCCUAACACGUGCAAGUCGAACGGUAACAGGAAACAGCUUGCUGUUUCGCUGACGAGUGGCGGACGGGUGAGUAAUGUCUGGGAAACUGCCUGAUGGAGGGGGAUAACUACUGGAAACGGUAGCUAAUACCGCAUAACGUCGCAAGACCAAAGAGGGGGACCUUCGGGCCUCUUGCCAUCGGAUGUGCCCAGAUGGGAUUAGCUAGUAGGUGGGGUAACGGCUCACCUAGGCGACGAUCCCUAGCUGGUCUGAGAGGAUGACCAGCCACACUGGAACUGAGACACGGUCCAGACUCCUACGGGAGGCAGCAGUGGGGAAUAUUGCACAAUGGGCGCAAGCCUGAUGCAGCCAUGCCGCGUGUAUGAAGAAGGCCUUCGGGUUGUAAAGUACUUUCAGCGGGGAUGAAGGGAGUAAAGUUAAUACCUUUGCUCAUUGACGUUACCCGCAGAAGAAGCACCGGCUAACUCCGUG
rnacentral:rRNA from 1 species